ACCCCCUCUCCCACCUCGAGGCGCCACAAGCAUCGGACGCGUCCUGCGGUGAAGCGAGCGCUCGCUGCUUCCUCGUGGCUGCCGCCGCUGCUGCACUCCCGGCUCCCGCCGCAGCCGCGUCCUCACGACGCUGUCCCACUUUCUGACUCGUUUGCGCCGCUGAAGACGGGAAAGGAAGGGGAAACGACGGGGGCGACGAAAAGUUUGCCUCCAGGGAUCGCGCCUGCAGAUAGGGCGCCGAACAGUGAGGUCGUCGGUUAGAAAGGUCGAACGCUGUAGUGUGCAAGAAAAUCAAAACAAACUCGGACGCCUCGUGCGGUGUUUGCAGGAGCGCUGUUUUUACGUGCCAACCGGAUUGAGUGAACUGUGCUUCACUUUCAUUCAAAACCGUGUCGGUGAGGUGUGAACGAUAGAGGAGAAGGCGCACCACGCGUCUACACGACCAUGUCCCUGCAUUCCGCGGGAUACCGUGUCGUGACGCGCUCUCUCUGACGCACGUGUGAACGCCAUUUGGACGCUGACACAACCGUGCCGGAAGUGUGGUUUGCCCGUCAAACCUAUCCGCUUUCUCGCAGCCCCAGACCUCAGAGUUUUGCAGUGUAUUGCGCGAGUGCGACUUACCGGACGAGGACGCACUCCAAGUUCCCGAUGAACUUACCCGCUGGCCCGGCAUGAGCCCUCCCAGGAAAAGUUGCGCUCGAGCCGGCCUGCACCGCAGCCCUUUCGGGAUGCGCGGAUGCUGGUACUCCCUCUGCCUCACGAUGUCGUUCGCUUUCUCCGAGAUAGCGGCGGAGUUUCUCCUUUCCUCGGAAUACACCACUUCAGACUCGUCAAGACAUCCCUCGCCCUCUGCCAUGCUGACUCCGGCUGUCCGGCAAACGACAAUGACCGCCACCGAAGGCGGAGGUGACGCCACGGCUGAGGGCAUUCGACAGCGCAAGGCUGUGGCUGACGAUAGCGAGGCCCGGCUUAGCGACGAGCUUUGGCCUCCCACGAGUCGCCUCUUCCCGUCCUUCGACAACAGCACGGAGCGCAAUGUCACCUCGCAACUUGGCCAGACAGCCUACCUGCACUGCAUCGUCAACAACCUCGGCGACAAGACCGUCCUGUGGAUUCGCAGGCGGGACUACAACGUGCUCACUGUGGGCCUCGACACGUACACGGCUGACGAUCGCUUUCAGGCGGUUCACUUGGAGCGUUCUUCCGACUGGGCCUUGCAGGUGCGCUACGUGCAGCUAUCGGACCAGGGUCUUUACGAAUGCCAAGUCUCCUCAGACCCAAAGAUCAGCUACUUCGUCAACCUCACCGUCCUAGUGGCAAAAGCGGUCAUCGAGGGUGGUCCAGACCUCUUCAUUCGCACAGGGAGCUCUAUCAACCUGACAUGCGAGAUAAGCCGAAGCCCGGAGCCGCCGCACUUUGUCUUCUGGUACCACAACGAUCGCAUGAUCAACUAUGUGUCGGCUAAGGGAGAGAUCACCCUGCACAAAGGUGGACCCGACAGGACCAUCAGCCGACUGUACAUCCGCAAAGCCGUUUCACUCGACUCGGGAAACUACACCUGCGACCCGGCCAACGCCGAGCCUGUGUCCAUCAGCGUCCAUGUCGUAAACGGUGAGAAGCCAGCUGCAAUGCAGCAUGACGGGAAGCCUCUUUCGUCCUCGAGCCCUCCGGAAGUAGCAACGGUGCUCACCGAGUUCGGUGUUCUCCUCGCCCUCUGUCUGGCGACUGCGUGUGCCAGGCUGAGGUAACAGAAGUUCGGCCCUGCCUGAACACAAAGCGUCGAAGCUGCUGCGUCGACGGCGCGCUAAACAAUCGUCCACAAAGGCUUGUUUUUGUGAAGCGAACACUGCGACCCUCUGAAUCGAAAUCCACGGAGAAUAGACGGAUGACUCCACGGAGGGAACUGCCUGACAGACGACAUUGCAAACAAGCCGAAAGAAAGACUCACGAGAUACACUCGUGCACAUCGCUCAUCGCCGAUGCUAUUUGUUUGUUUGUUUUUUUGUUCUUCAGCGCAGUUUCUCUCUGGUCAAUUUUGUGUGUUUCUGUUUUCCGUUCCUUGACGGCUUUUCAUUGGACCUUGCCGCGAUUGUGCAAGUGACUCAAAUGACUGUUCGUGAUACUCGAUGUAUGUUCCAUAGAAGUUCAGCUUGAGAACUGUAUUAGUGUAUAAUAGAGAAAAAAAAACUACGUAGAAGAGACUAACCAACACAGACGACACGCGAAACAUCACGACCUGAGGCGACAGUUGGGGAAAUCGGCGAAGAAGGGACAGACGAUGAAGAGAAGUCCAAGCUUGAAGCCUGCGGCAACUUCUGGACCUGAACAAAACACAGCAUUCCAAUACAUCUCUGAGACCUACAUUCAGCCACUACUUCAAUGGUGUACUGGUCCACUUGGUCACGUUCAUCAUGAAACCAUCUUAAAUGUACGAGCCCCAUUUACUCCAAAGGGGCCAUGCUGUUCUUUAAAUCUCAGGUUUUUGCGAUACGUGUGAGCAUCGCAGCGUUGUAAACGUAGUUCAGGUGCAGCUUUUGUAUAUGCUGUUUAAGUGGCCACUGAUCUGCACAGCAGCCAAGAAUAUUUUGCGCACAACAUGGAAAGAAAAGAAAAGAAAAAUGUCGUGCGCAUGUAUUGUUGGCAAAGACUGCGCGCAAAACGGUCUGAUGUGUCUGCCACGUUGUUACGGGUUGUAAUGAUGUUUUAAAGCAUUCUAUCGCUCUGCAUGUAUCGUUAACCUAGGUAUCUUUUACCGUUUUUGUUGAAGGUGUUUUUGCUUGCGAGCACUAAAAAGCAGAAGCAUAUAACAAUGAAGUGUUCUGUGCGACGCUGCUUGCUUUAGGUGUUUGACGAAACCAAAGUUGUACAUAUUAAAGCGUAUGCUUAUUCUGCACAUCGACAGACUUCAUAACAGAUGACUAAAAGAAACGGCAGUGUAAAAAGCGUAAUACGAAACUUCAACGGCAUGUAAAUAUCAAGGGUAAGCAAUCGUUGUAUCUUUAUUGCAGCCAGACUGAGAAAGUUUCUUUGUGAAGAAUUCUGGUCGAUGUAACAAAAUUAAAGCAUGCAAAACCAAGUAAGUAAUAAGUGCACGUGCUCAAGAGUAUAUUGUUCUUUCAAGUGAAUACAAAUUUGUUAUUCAAAAAGAUCCAUGCAGAAAUUUUAACGGAUGUUUUAUACAUAUAGCGUGAGAAUAAAAAAAAACGUAUGUGUGCUCAAUAUUAUUGGAAUUCGCUCUGCUGUUUUCGAAUCGUUCGAGUACUCAAUCAUGUACGUGCGCCUACAUUUCAACUAACACAGUAGAGUUGGUUAUGUAAAUUUUGUAAAUAAAUAUCAAGUUGAAAUUGUGGAA